rnacentral:lncRNA from 1 species
AUUCAAACUCUUUUUGGUUAAACUCUCUUUUAAUUUUGGAAGCACCAAUUAUUCCAUUGUACCUGAGAAAGCACAAGAAAACACAGCUACAUCCUGUGGACCUGUGGAAAAAUAAUCCUACUUUUUGAUGGAUGGAAUAUGUUCAAAGUAGCAUUCUUGUAUGGAGUAUACAAUUAACUGUCUUGGUAACCUGAAAACCAAUAGGACAGAAACAUACUCCAUUUAUCAUUCAGAUUUCUGGGGAGUCUUGCCUACUUACAGAUCUACUCAGAAGAUAAAGGGGCCAUGUCUAUUUACCUUUUAAAAGGUAAAUUUUUCUGGUUUUACCUUUUAAUUAUAA